AAUAACAAAGAGCAUUCUUGAGUCGAUCACUUUGAAGCACUGUGAAAUGAAGGAACUUAAUCAAGUUCAACUCGCAUUACAUAAGGAACUAGCAGGGAAGAAGUUUUUUAUUGUUCUAGACGAUGUUUGGAGUGAGAAUUAUGAAGAUUGGAAUGCUCUACGUCCCCCUUUUAUGGAUGGAGCACCAGGAUGUAGAAUACUAGUGACAACAAGAAGUACAAUUGUUGCAGGAAGGAUGGGGACAGUUGAUUUUCACAGGCUGGAAAGUAUUUCAGAUGAUGAUUGUUGGUUGUUGUUUACAAAGCAUGCCUUUGAGAAUAGAAGAGAUAAUGCGCUUGCAAAUCAGGAAAUCAUUCGUGAAAAAGUCAUAAAUAAGUGUGGUGGCUUGCCUUUGGCUGCAAGAACUUUGGGUGGCCUUUUGCGGGCAAAACAUGAAGAUGAGUGGGAAGAUAUGUUGAAUAGCAAAAUAUGGAAUUUACAAGAUGACGAGAGUGGUAUUCUUCCUGUGUUAAGAUUAAGU
rnacentral:misc_RNA from 1 species